rnacentral:rRNA from 1 species
GACGUAGGAGGCGAGCGUUGUCCGGAGUUACUGGGCGUAAAGCGCGCGCAGGCGGCCCUGUGCGCUGCCGGUGAAAGCUCCCGGCUUACCUGGGAGAGGUUCGGCAGGACGGCAGGGCUGGAGGGUGGGAGAGGUCGGUGGAAUUCCCGGUGUAGUGGUGAAAUGCGUAGAGAUCGGGAGGAACACCCGUAGCGAAGGCGGCCGACUGGACCACACCUGACGCUGAGGCGCGAGGGCCAGGGGAGCGAACGGG